CGCGUACGUUCCGCGUAGAACAGAGUAUAAAUUCAGAGUUUAGGGUAAUGGGUUCGGAUUUUGGAGGAUGAAAGAUGAUGGAGUUGGGUGUUGGGGUUUUCCUUUUUGAUGGGUGUUGAAUGAAGAGUACAGGCAUUAGGUUUUUUUGUGUGUGAGGAUGAUGGGUGAAGGCGGAUUUUAGGGUUUUGUAUGACGAUCUUAUUCCAUAUUAAAAUAAAGAUGAUAGACGAAGACGGUAGAAUUUUUCUGUUAGGGUUUCUCGACGAUGGGUGAGGACGAUAGGAUUUUCUAUAGUAAUUUUUUGGGCAUGCUUUAGGAUUUUUCAGGAAUGGAUCGGGCUUGACGCAAGGAAAGGGUUCAUGAUGGAAUAUCUACAAGGGAGAUCUUGCGGUGGAAACAAUUUACAAGAUUGUGAAGGUUGAUCUUGCGGUCGAAAUUGAGUGCAGCAAAGGGCAUGGUUAACUAUAUAUCAUCCUAAAUAAGGGCUCAUGAGUGCUGAGCUGCCGCGUGCCGCAUGCCGCAUGAAAAAGUGUCAUGCAGAGGUUUAUAUGCUUACUGUAAAAGCGCCUUAGAAAGGCUAGCAUGUUUAAUAAAAUAGUACAGUGCUUUUAUCAUAUAUCCUUAUAUGCCAAUCUCUUCCCUGAUUGGCUGAUUCCUAUCCAUAUUGAUGUGAAGUUGUUUUAGAAAUUUCCUUAAUUCAGUUUUUGCAUAUAUCUGACUUCA